rnacentral:lncRNA from 1 species
GUGGGCGGAACCAAGAGCCUGGCGGGGGGUUCUCCUGAAUGGCGGUUCUCCCAGAGCUUUCAAGGAAGACAGAGUUCAGCCUGUUUAUUGGGAAGACUUUAAUCCUGCUCAAGACAUCUACUGUGUCACCGUACCACUGUGGCCCAGCGCCUGGUGGAGUGAAUCCAGACCCCCAGGGGUGUCCCCUCCCCGCCUUUCUCCUGGUGUCUAGGGGCACCCAGAAACCCUCACCCCAGAUUAGACCAGCUCGUUGGCAACAUCCCUGGUAUGUCACAGCCUGGGGGGUGAUAGACAAGGCAGGGUAGUGGUGGGGGGUACGUAUGGUGGUAGUAGACGAGGGUAUACACAGACAGAGGGUGUACAUGGGGAAUGUGUGCAGGGGCUGUGUGCAGGGAGUGUGUGUGGAUGGUGUAGGGGAGUGUGUAGGGGAGUGUGUAGGGGGUGUGUGCAGAGGUUGUACACGGGGUGUGCAGGAGGUGUACUCAGAAUGUGUUCAGGGAGUGUGUGCAGAAGGUGUACAUGGGGUGUAUGCAGGAGGAGUGUGCAGAGGGUGUACAUGUAGGGGGUGUGUGCAGACAGUAUACAGAAGGGGUGUGUGCAGAGGAUGCACACAGGGUCUCUGCAGGGAGUAUGUGCAGUGCUGUACAUAAGGAGUAUGCAGGGGGUAUAUACAGGGUGUAUGUGCAAGGGGUGUGUGCAACAGUGUGUGCAGGAGGUGUGUGCAGGGUCUAUGUGUGGGGGUGUGUGCAACAGUGUGUGCAGGAGGUGUGUGCAGGAGGUGUGUGCAGGAGCUAUGUGUGGGGGUGUGUGCAACAGUAUGUGCAGAGGUGUGUGUAGGGGCUAUGUGUGGGGGUGUGUGCAACAGUGUGUGCAGGAGGUGUGUGCAGGAGGUGUGUGCAACAGUGUGCAGGGGGUGUACACAAGGUGUGUGCAGGAGGUGUGUGUAGAUGUGUGUGCAGGAGGUAUACACAGGGUUUGUGCAGAGGAUGUGUGUGGGAGGUGUGUGCAGGGGAUCUGUGCAGGGAGUGUACACAGGCUGUGUGCAGAGGCUAUGUGCAGGGGGUGUGUGCAACAGUGUGCAGGGAGUGUACACAAGGUGUGUGCAGGAGGUGUGUGCAGAGGUGUGUGCAGGAGGUAUACAUGGUGUGUGAAGGUAUGUGUAGAGGUGUGUGCAGGGGGUAUACACAGGGUUUGUGCAGAGGAUGUGUGAGGGAGUUGUGUGCAGGGGAUCUGUGCAGGGAGUGUACACAGGCUGUGUGCAGGGGGUAUGUGCAACAGUGUGCAGGGGGGGUGUGUGCAGAGGUGUGUGCAGGGGGUGUACACAGAGGGUGGUGGCAGGCGGUGGAUGCAAGGCUGCAUCUGUUCAGCCCAAGACGUUCCAUUGGUCCAGUGGUGUUAGAGCACAUUUGGUCAGGUUGCCUUCAUGGGAUAUUUGACAAGCUGCAAACCCGAGGGCAUGCUGGUGCCCGAGGGCGCCUCCGUGCUGACCUCAGCAUGUGCAGCAAGAGCCAGGGCACAGGGGCGGCCUGGCCCAUUUCAGGCAGGUGCUCUGUGGGAGGGUGGCUGUCUCCACUGACAACCCAGGGAGGUCAGCAAGGAGGAGCCCUGAGGUGGACUCGAAAGCUGUGGGAGCUGAUGGCCCUCCUGGUCUCUGCCACAGCCCUUAGGCUGUGGGACACACAGCGUCACAUUUGAUCACUGUUCAUGGGGCCUGCCGAACACUCAGCAUUCCUGAGUGCAGAUCGUCACGUAACUUUCCAAAAAUUGCAAACCCAGAUAUGGCUCCAUGACCCCUCCUGCAAGACUGUGAAGGAGUUCAGGGCACAGCUGAGCCCUCACACCCCCAGCCCCAUCACUGCCCCUGAUAUGCACUGAGUGGAAUUCUGUCCCGCCAGGAGACAAACAGUGGACAGCAUCCUGGCUCUUCAGAAGCACAUGACGAUGGCAAACUGAAGGCCUCAUGGGCCCUCACCCAACAGCAGUGGCUUUUCAGGGCAUAACACAGGCCCCAAACACUGAGCCUCUUCCUCCUGGGCAGGUACCCAGCUGGCCAGACAGGGCAGGGUAGGGGCGAGUGGGACCUCAGUGGGCAGCCGGUCCAGGACAGAACCACACGGGGAUGUGAUGGAAGUACCAAUGGGAACUUUGAAAACAAUGCCUCUGCUCACCAAAGUAUCCCAGCUUCACUGUAGAAAAUAUAGACACUACAGAAGGGCACCGAGAUUCGAUAUGCCGCCCUGCUGAGAUAACCCACACUAACAUGCCCACAUGUAUCCUGCAGGUGUUUUUCAAGCCUGUGCGUAUUGACAGUCAUGAGGCUAUGCUAAGCAUUGCCGGAUGCAUCUGCCACUAAGUAGUCUUUAACGUUGUUUAUUAAACACUUUUAAUGGUCACGUUAGAUCAUAAACCAAACCCAACUUUAUUAUCCUGUCUUCUGCUGCUGAAAGUUGUGUCUGUCUCCACUUCCUCACGGUGCUCACUCUGGUUGGCCAAAUCAUGAAGAUCCAUGGAGGCGCGGGAGCCUUCCGGCCUGGAAUGGGGCAGCAAAAGCACAGAGCCGCAGAGAAGCCGGGAAAGCAAAGGCAGGGGCUGCUGGGCUGGGCCCCAUCAGCCCCAUGGCAGCGGCACCCGCACAGGCCUGGGGUCCCCAGCAGCAGGGAUGCUGUCUGUGGGCCCAGGGCUCCUCCACAGCUUUGGGGGCUUCCUGCCAGAGGAGGGGGGUGGUUCUCCUGGGAGGGGCCCCAAGACAGGAGUCCCCAGACCUGGGCACGCCUCACCUCGGGUAGGGCCCCAACGCUUCAGCGGGUCUCACUGGCAUCCCUAAACCUAGACCACAGGAGAGUGUGCUGUGCCAUCAUCACGAUGACCCCUCCCCAUCCCAGCGCACGCUCCCACGACGCACCGUGCUCACAGUGACCCCUCCCCAUCCCAGCGCACGCUCCCACAAUGUGCCGGGAUCACAGUGACCCCAUGGGCUACCUGCCGCUCCCAAGGACUAAUGGAGGCCUCUGUCCCCAGGUUCUAUCCCGGGUUCCUCACAGGGCACCAGCCCUCAGGCCCAGUUAAAUUCCGGAGCGGCUCUUUAAGCCCACAGGCCCAGGCCGCUAUGGUAGGACCCAGGUGGGAGAGGCUCUCCGUGUGCUGUCUCCCUGACAGGUGCCCCAUCCAUAGCUUUCUAGAACAUCCCAGGGAGGCUCCCAGGCCCCGAGCCUCAAUCCUCAAGCCUGUGGGUCCCAGACUGCAGGCUCAGUGAGCCCUACAGAGACCAGGCCAGCGGAAGGAAACAGGGAGACCCACAUGGUCAGAGAAGAGGGCUGGAGGUUCAGCCUGAGGGGCCUCUGGGCUUUCUCUAAACAGAGCGGGGGUGGGAGGAGGCUGUGAUGUACAGUGAGGGGACUUGAGAGGGAAAUGGGGGCCUCCACCCACCCCAGGGACGAGCGCUCACCCCAGGCCCACCUGGCUCGCAGCAUCCAAGCCAGGGCUACGCAGAGCAGCUGCUCCCAAACCCAGCUCCCUCUGGGUGCCUGAGCCAGGCUCAGAGAUGCAUCCUGCAUCGUUCUUUCUCCAUCCUGUGUCAACAAGACAACACAGGCAACCAGCGUGGCCAUGCUGGAAAUCCACAGCCUAGCGGAGCGGCCUCGCCUGCAUUCAUGUGGCCAGUGGAAUUCGCGGCACACACAUUCGCACUGUCACGCUCAGUUCACGUGUGCACACGCUCACAGCCACAGCACACUCACAGUUCACACACCUCACACGCAUACAUACACAGGUGUACGUGCACAUGCACACUCACGUACACACCCACCCACACACAGUCUCACACCCAGGUUCACACCCACACAUGGACCUCAAUCCACCGGUACCUGCCACACACCCACACGCGGACCUCCAUCCCACUCCAAGGCCUUUCCCCACAUCCCCGGGCGGCAGGAGCCCAGCGGUCAGUGCAGAGGCAUGGACGAGGGCCAGGGAGGCAGGUGGCACGAGCCACCUGCUCUCCACAUCCUUCUCGAGAGGAAAGGAGGUGCCGGCCCACCCUGCCCACAGCUCCUCGGCGAAGCCGCGUCUGGUCCAGGGCCAGCCGCCCCUUUGCUGGUUUCAGUUCCUCCUUUAUCCAUUCAUAAACGUUGAACAAAAGCGCUCUUUUCCCUCACGGUAUCUCUAGCAGUUAAGAUCAACACCAAUAUUUGAGAACUGUCAAUACUGCAUUUUACCCACUUCCCAAAUGUGAAACCGGAAGGCACACGUAGCCCUUGCUGGGCUGUUUCCAGUGAACACAGUUGAGGGUGGGCUUGGGGGUUCUCCGCAUCGUAAUGUCUUAGGAGGGGGUGGGGCCACACCUUCCCACCUUGUCCGAGUAACAGGCCACGUGUGCGGUUUAGUUCACACCGUGGAGGAGGGGAGUGUGAGGGCAGCGGGUGGGCCGCUGUGUCCUGGUCUCUGUCCUGCUGUGUGGCCAGGGAGGGAGUGCGGCUGUCCGAUUUAGGUUGAAACACCGUCCAUCGGCAUCUCUGGGGGAUGUUGCCACUGCCCUUGACUCCUGCCCUUGUGUCUGGAAAGGGGAGGCUUCAGAGUGAGUGGCCCACAGCCUUCCAGUUGCAGGAGCUGGUGUGGGAAGGGGCAUCCCCAUGGCUGUGGGCCGGAGCCCUGUAAUAAUGGGAAGUUUCAGUGCCCUCAUAGGAGUUUCACUGGAGCAGGUAAAUCGGUCUGGGAGCUUGUGAACCGCUCUGGGCUGCUGGGGCUGCACUGACAACAAGCACAGAGCCCAGCUACAAGUGGCGUGGCUGCAGGAGACGCCCUGGAGACCUGAGACAGGCUGGGUGUCUCUGCUGUCCCAGGACAGAACCCAGCUACAAGUGGCGUGGCUGCAGGAGACACCCAGGAGCCCCCAGGCAGGGUGGGCGGCUCUGCUAUCCCAGGACUGGGUCAGGACAGCUCAGCCCUCGCAGUCCUCAGCCAAGUGCUGCCCCGCUCUGCAAGGGGCCCAGAGGGCUCCCAGAGGCCUGCGGACCAGUGCUAGGCCUCACAUCCCUGAACCACUCCCUGACCUCACAUCCCUGAACACAUGCAGGGGCCGGGCCUCAGCUGGGGGGCAUGGCACUGGGUGAGGUCAGAGGUGCUCCAAGCAUGUGGCCUAGAAGGUUUGUCCAAAACAAAUUCUCUCCUGGACCCUGGAGGGGAAGCAGAAGCCGGCUGCUUCCUAUAGUUCCCAACACCAGAAAGCCCAGGACUUCUCAGGGAAAUCUUGGUUUCCAGCUUUUUCCGAAAGUGCCUGAUGGGCAGGCAUUCACUCCUUUCAGACAAGCCCCCCAGCCCUUCAGCCACUGAGCCGUGACCCUCUCCCCAGGAAGGACUGGUGGGGCUGGGGCACUGCCACCACCUGGAGCCCCAUCUUCAGCCGCCUGGCAGGAGCUGCACCUGCACAUGGCACCCGUGAACUCCGGCAUCUUCCUCUGUCCUCCCAGGCACUCGGCAUCUUCCAGGGCUGCUGCCUCCUGAGCCCACUCGAUAUGGUUUAGAUGUUUGUCCCCACAGAUCUCAUGUUGAAAUGUAAUCACCAGUGCUGGAGGUGGGGGCUGGUAGGAGGUGUUUGGAUCACAGGAGUGGGUCCUUCCUGAAUGGCGUGGGUCAUCCUGUUGGUGAUAAGUGAGUUCUCACUCUGGUAGAUCUGGUAGUUUAAAAGUGUGUGGUGGCUGGGCGCAGUGGCUCACACCUGUAAUCCCAGCACUUUGGGUGACUGAGGAGGGUGGAUCACUUGAGGUCAGGAGUUCAAGACCAGCCUGGCCAACAUGGUGAAACCCUGUCUCUACUAAAAACACAAAAAUAAUUAGCUGGGUGUGGUGGUGCGCACCUGUUAUCCCAGCUGCUUGGGAGGCUGAGGCAGGAGAAUUGCUUGAACCUGGGAGACAGAGGUUGCAGUGAGCUGAGAUUACGCCACUGCACUCCAGCCUGGGCGACAGAGUGAGACUCCAUCUCAAUUAAAAAAAAAAAAAGUGUGAGGCGCCUCCCCCUUCUGACUUGCCCCCCUCUCACAGCCCCCCUCUCACAAUGUGAGGUGCCUCCCCCUCUGACUUGCCCCUCUCUCACAGCCCGCCUCUCACAAUGUGAGGCGCCUCCCCCCUCUGGCUUGCUCUCCUCUCACAAUGUGAAGCGCCUCCCCCCUCUGACUUGCUCUCCUCUCACAAUGUGAGGCACCUCCCCCCUCUGGCUUGCUCUCCUCUCACAAUGUGAGGCGCCUCCCCGCUCUGGCUUGCUCUCCUCUCACAAUGUGAGGCGCCUCCCCCCUCUGGCUUGCUCUCCUCUCACAAUGUGAGGCGCCUCCCCCCUCUGGCUUGCUCUCCUCUCACAAUGUGAGGCGCCUCCCCCUCUGACUUGCUCUCCUCUCACAAUGUGAGGUGCCUCCUCCCUCUGACUUGCUCUCCUCUCACAAUGUGAGGUGCCUCCUCCCUCUGACUUGCCCCCCUCUUAAAGUGUCAUGUAUCUGCUCCCCCUUUACCUUCCACCACAACUGGAAGCUUCCUGAGGCCUCAUCAGAAGCAGAUCCUGGCACUACACUUCAUGUACGGCCUACAAAACCAUGAGCCAAUUAACCCUCUUUUCUUUAUAAAUUACCCAGUCUCAGGUUUUCUUUAUAGCAAUGCAAGAACAGCCUAGUACACCACCUCUGCCUCUCUUUCCGCCAUCUGCUGUUAAAAGCAGGCUGAUCAGGACCAGGGGCCAGCAUCAGAUAUAACCUGGCAUCCCCUGCAAAGUCCCAGGCUUCCCCCACUAUGGCUUGGGGACCUGCAGCUGCUUGCUCCUCAUCUCUGAGGCUUCGGGGAGCCCAGAGCUCAGAGUCCCUUAGGGCCAGGGCAGAGUGUGGCCUGGGGGCCACCAGCCUCAGGAAGCCCAAGGCCUCCUCCAAGCAGGAGUUCUCUCAGAGCCAGAGCUGCCCCACCCCAUAUGGCCCAGUGACCAUCACUCAAAGCUCACCUUCUCCUUGAGCCUCUGGUCAGCCGACCAGCCCUGACUGCUCCCGGGCCCCUGGCCCCUGGCCACGUCCCCCCUCCUGCCCCUGCACCCCAUGCUGACCAAGCUCCACCGCCUCAACCCCGCAGGAUCCAGCACUGCUCUCCACUGCCGCUGGGUGCAUUCCGUCGGGCAAAGCUUUGUUGCAUGAGGCCGGGGCUCAGCAUCACAGCCUCUCUGUCGGUUCCUGCAGGCAGUGGACAUGGUGGGUCCCCACUGUGAGGAGCCCAGCCUCUGGGGGCCCAGACGCAGGUUUCUGGCUGGGCACACACUGGGGUGAGCAGGCUCCCUGGCUGUGAGGCCGUGAGCAAGCCCAUCUCCGAACUCCAGUUUUCUCAUCCCUAAAAAUUAAAAAUAAGAAGGCCCUCAAGGGGACUGGCAGUUCCCAGCCCUCUUGGGCCUUGCCCAUUUCUGGUGUAGAGGAUGGAGCCAUCUCUUACAGCUCGGGUUGGUGAGAAGCAAGCAUGAGGCUACGGUGGCAUUUUCAGGUAAAGUUUAGAUUUUCCAGAAGAAGAAACGUGUAAGUGGCACAUACCCUGUCCCCCUUCUCCUUUGCGCUGAACAAAGUUGUGAUGUCUGAAACUGCAGCAGCCGCCUUGGGAUGAUGAGGGCAAAGAAAAUUGGCAUCACUGGGGUCCCCAACCCGGGCUCCAAACCAAGGUCACUGCUGCUAGGACUAGACUGUGGCUAAGAGAAAGAAAACACAACAGCUGAGUGACUGUUGCACCCAAUGCCUUCCUGUGGACCCUGGCAUCUGCCGAGGUGGCGGGCAGAGCUUAGGUGGCGCGGGCACAGCUUAGGUGGCACAGGCACGUGUGCAGGUGCCCGUAACAAGGCCUGGAAGGAGGCUGUGCCUGCCCAGCGGAGGGACCCCCUUUCUCUGUGGGGAGAUAGAGCCCCGGGAGGGGGCAGGAGCUGGAGCAUGGGAGUGGCUGGGGCUGCGGAGGGGAGCUCUGGAGGACCCCACCUUCCCAGGGCUAGGACAGAGGGAGCCGGCUGCUGGGGACGUCCCUCCAUCUGCUCAGACAGAGGGAGCUGGCUGCUAGGGACGUCCCUCCGUCUGUUUGGACACAGGGAGCUGGCUGCUGGGGACGUCCCUCCGUCUGCUCGGACAGAGGGAGCUGGCUGCUGGGGACGUCCCUCCGUCUGCCUGGUGUCCAGCCUGGCCUGAGUCCAGGUCCGAGCAGUCUGUGUGGAUGAAGGAGCGGGUUGGGAUGGGGAAUAAACAAAAGCCUGAAAUGUAAUCAGCCGGCUUCGCAGCUAUGGCGAGCGGGCAGGCCUCCUGCAUCCUGGUAGUCAGCACUGAGCCCGCUGGAGCCAGCCUUGUCCUCAGAGGCAGCACCGGGAGAAUGCAGUGCAGGUGACAGGGGACCUUUGCUGCCCAGAGGCAUGUGGUCUAUUGGCUGCACGUUUGUGCUCCUGCAGGAGUCACGGGUGGAACCCCAACCCCAGUGCUGCGGUGUGUGGAGUGGGGUCCUCCCAGUGGGAUCAGUGCCCUCAUAGGAGAGGGCUGCCCUCCCCUUUCUCUGUCGCACCGGGAAACCAGGAAGGGCCCUCACUAGGAGGCCAGUCAGCUGGUGCCAGGAUCUCCGGCUUCCACCCCAGAGUGGUGGGAGCUUCCUGUGUCUGCUGCUCAACAAACCUAUGUCUGCUGCUCGGGUUGCCCGUGUGUGGUUUUCUGCUAUGGCCACCUGAGCUGAUUAAGACCUCCCCCAAAAUCUGUGCAAAACCCCAGCGCUUCGAAUGUCACCUCUGAGGCAAAAGCUGUGAUAAACAUAGGGAUCUUAAGAGGUGCUUUUCCUGGGUUAUCGGGGGGUGGGGCCUGGGGGUCUAAAUGCAUUCACCAAUGUCCUUCUAAGAGACAGAAGAGAGACACAGAGAGAAGAGGCACAGAGGAGCCGGCCAUGGAGCGAUACAGCAGAAGCUGGAGGCGACGGGAGGAUCCUGGCCCAGAGCCUCGGGAGGGAGUGGGGGCCGUGUUCCAGAAGCCUGAGAGUCCUGCGUGUUGUUCUGAGCCCCUAAGGCUGGGGUAGCUUGUUCCAGCAGUCAUGGGAAACUGACACAUCCCAAACACAGCAGCACGAGAACAUAGGACUGAGACACCAUCCCCAUCACGCCCCAACACACGAAGACUGACGGUGGCGGGUGCUGCACAUCUCAGCCGGAGCUCUGAAGGCAUUUAGCUGAGCGCUGGCCUGCACCUGGAGAGAGUGAGAGACACCAGCCUCCACUGCCAGGAAGGCCCAGGGUCCUCAGGGACCAAGACGCAGGAGACGGCCGCUGCCAGGGUCCUCGGGACUUCUGUGUGGCCUUCGCUACCGGAGCCCUGAGGCGCCAUCCCCAUGUGCCCUUCGGGCUGGUCCAGGAGGAGGCCCUGCGGCGGCCACAGACUGGGGGGACAAAGCCCCAGGAACUCAGAACCUUGUGGGUUUUGGAAGAGGAGCCGCGCAGCAAGGUCCCGACGCCUGCAGGGAGCUGAACGGGGAGCCGCGCGAGGAAGGGAGUGCAGCAGACCCAGUACGCAAAUGCUGACCCUACAAAACGCACCGCGGGUUCUCGAGCCGUGGGGAUCCCGGCGGUGCUCUCCAGAGACCGCAGCUGCAGGAGCUGGGCGGUCCCCGGCAGGUGCCACGAGGGUGCGAUCUCGGCCGAGAACCACCAGGCGUCCACGUCCACGGAGGGACUCAUUCUCCGUGCCCAUCUCACAGGGAGCAAAGGAGGCGGAGGGAGCCCCGGACUCACUGGGUUCUGACCCAGACCCUUCUCUUCUGCAGGGUGGAGUCCUCCUCCCAGAGAAGCCCAGACGUUCGUUUGGGAGACCCAGGGACACUCGGGGCCAUCACCUGCCCCUCACUGGGGCUCCCAGGGGAGACUUCACGCAGUGCCCAGUGUCCUCCCGCUGGGAUCCUCCUGCCCCCGAGGGGCGCCCGUGUCCCCCAGCACCCCAAGGAAGAGAAUGAGCUGUCUUUGGCGGGUGCUGUGCUAUUUUCUGUCCUUAUUUCACCUAGAAUGGCCAUUUCCAGAACUCAAUCCCUGCAAAUGAAUUUCUUCUAACGCCCCUUUUCAGUAUCAAGGAGCAGGAAGCAAUAUCCUUUAAAAACCGAUCGGCCAUACAUUUCUGCUCAUUAAAUAAAUAUUUUUACUUUGGACCCGAUUGAUUUUUCAGACACACGGAACAAUGGGACUGACUCACCUGUGUGCAGCUGGGAGCCUCCUUCCUCCCCGGGGACCUUUGAAGUCACAGUGAGGCGGCCACACCUGGUGCACAGGUGGAGCCCGGCCGAUAGGCACCUGAAUUCUCACCAACUUCACAGGGUGUUCAGAAACGGGCUCGCACUCGGCCGACACGCCCCCUUCCUGGAUCCCUGGGGUGGGAUGCCCAGUGUGGCUGCACCGGAGAAAGGGUGAAAACCAGCGGAGAGAGGGCCGGGAAAGGCUCCCCCACAGGCAUGUCAAGGAGAGAACCUGCAGUUCCACCACACCCUCCAGCCCCCUCCCAGGCAAUCUCCCCACUCCAGCCCCUGACCCCUGACCACCUUGCUCCUUGGUAUCCAGAGCCAGGCCGGAACUCAGGGAGGGCCGCGCCGUUCACUUCUGUAAGGGAGCCUCCGUUCAGUCAGUCAUUCAACAAACAUGAAUCCAGAGCCGCAUGCACUGCUGGUCCCGUCCCAGCUGCUGGUCACGGAGCGGAGAAAGCUUGAAGGCCGUGGUGUCUACUGAGAGGCAGAUGACAAACCAGGAGCACGAGUCACAGCACACACUGGCGCAGCUGCAGGGAGCUGGGCAGAGCCGGGCCUGGCACAUGGGGCAGGAGGCUGUGGCCCUAACGCCAUGGUGGGCGCCACAGACCUUGUCAGAAGGGGUCUGAGCAGAGACAUUGAUUUGGUUUCAUUAUCAUAUAGAACAGAAUAGAAAACUCAGACAUGAAGCUGCACACAUACACCCGUCUGGUCUUUGACAAGACCAACGAAAACAAGCCGCGGGGAAAGGACUCCCUGUCCGAUAGAUGGUGCUGGGAUAAGCAGCUCAGUCACAGGCAGAAGAAGGAAACUGGACUCUUACCCUUCCGCAUAGACGAAAAUCAACUCUAGAUGGAUUAAAGACUCAAAUGCAAGACGUCAAACUAUAAACAUCCUGGAAGACAACGUCUUCUUGACGUUGGCGUUGGCAAAGAACGCUGGCUAAGUCCUCAAAAGCAAUUGCAACAAAAACAAAAAUAGACAAGUGAUACCUAAUUAAACUGAAGAGCUUCUGCACAGCAGAAGAAACUGCCAACGGAGGAAACAGACACCCUACAGAAUGGGAGAAAAUGUCUGCAAACUAUGCAUCUGACAAAGGCCUAAUAUCCAGCAUCUAUAGGACGCUUACACAAAUCAACAAGCAAAAAACAACCCCAUUAAAAAAUGGGCGGCCGGGCGCGGUGGCUCAUGCCUGUAAUCCGAGCACUUCGGGAAGCUGAGGCGGGCGGAUCACAAGGUCAGGAGAUCGAGACCAUCCUGGCUAACACGGUGAAACUCCGUCUCUACUAAAAAAUAUUAAAAAAUUAGCUGGGCGUGGUGGUGGCCGCCUGUAGUCCCAGCUACUCGGGAGGCUGAGGCAGGAGAAUGGCGUGAACCAGGGAGGAGGAGCUUGCAGUGAGCCGAGAUUGCGCCACUGCACUCCAGCGUGGGCUACAGAGUGAAACUCUGUCUCAAAAAAAAAAAAAAAAAGGCAAAGGACAUGAACAGAUACUUCUCAAAACAAGACAUACAAGUGACCAACAAGUAUAAGAAAAAAUUCUCAUUAUCAGAGAAAUGCAAAUCAAAACCACAAUGAGAUGCCAGCUCAGCAGUCAGAAUGGCGAUUAUUACAAAGUCAAAAAAACAACAGAUGCUGGUGAAGCUGAAGAAAAAAGGUGAUGCUCACGCACUGCUGGUGGGAACAUAAAUUAGCCCAGGCCCGUGGAGAGCAGUCUGGAGAUUCCUCAAAGAUCUUAAAACACAGCUACCAUUCAACCUAGCAAUCCCAUUACUGGGUAUAUACCCAAAAGAAAAUAAAGGAUUCUGCCAAAAGGACACAUAUGUUCAUCACAGCGUUAUUCACGAUAGCAAGACAUGGAACAAACCUAGGUGCCCAUCAGUGGUGGACUACAUAAAGAAAACGUGGUACAUAUACACUGUGGAAUACUACGUAGCCAUAAAAAGAAUGGAAUCGUGUCCUUUGCAGCAACAUGGAUGCAGCUGGAGGCCAUUCUCGUAAGCAAAUUAAUGCAGGAGCAAAAAACCAAAUACCGCAUGUUCUUACUUACAAGUGGGAGCUAAACAUUGAGGACACGUGGACAAAAAGAUGGGAACAAAAGUCACUGGGGCCUCCUGGAGGGUUGGGGAUGGAGGAUUAAAGAACUUCCUUCAGGUAUGAUGCUCGCCAUCUGGGUGAUGGCACCCGUCCUCCAAACCUCAGCAUCACACAAUAUUCUCAUGUAACAAAUCUGCACGUGUGCCCCUAAAUCUAAAAUAAAAGUUGAGAUUUUAAAAGUAAAGUAAGAUAAAUGUCAUAUCAGUUAUUCGAUCCGUC